CCUCAAGUGAGUGCUCAGUGGGUGGGCGGGGAAGUGUUGUGUGGGGUUCUGGUUCUAGAGUUUUCACUUAGAACUAAGGUCCUUAGAAUACACAGAUGCUUUCCAUAUUGUCCAUGUAUAGGGAUAUGCAGCAUUAGUGGGCCAUGAGCCCAUCCCGGGUGACUCACUGUGUGCCCUGCAUUUUCAGCAUUUCUGGAGAAGAGAGCAACAAUAUCAGGAAUCCACUGCUUCUGUGACUACUGCCUGGUGACCACAUGAGAGGGAUUUGCUUUGCUUGCUUUAUAGAGAAGCAUUUGAUGCAGAUGUGAGGCGCAGACAGCUGUAGCCUGAACAAGAUGCUGAACUACAAGAGUGUAGAAAACUCCUUUAAUUAAGUCAAACCUGGUCUUUCAGGUGGAGACCAGUUCAAAUGAAAACACUUAAUACUAUGCAAAUACCUUUCAGGUGGCAAAAAGAAAGGAAGAAAACUAACAUUGACGCCAAUGUUACCUAUAUUCUUUUUUGACAUCUUGAGGCAGACACUAUCUUUAUUUUACAGAGGAAGUAUCUGAGGUGCUAAGGUAACACAAAUAAUAAAUGGUAGAGUUCGGCUGGAAUUGGGGUCAUCUGAUUCCAAGAGAGUGCACAUUUCUCAAGUCAUGGUACACAGUUCCCAGGCAUAGACAAAGGUUUAUCCAGGGGAACUCCAGAGGACUUUCCUUUGGUCAGAAAUAAA